rnacentral:rRNA from 2 species
UACAGAGGGUGCGAACGUUGUUCGGAAUCACUGGGCAUAAAGCGCACGUAGGCGGCACCGCAAGUGUGGGGUGAAAUCCCACGGCUUACCCGUGGAACUGCCUGGCAGACUGCGGUGCUAGAGGUUGGUAGGGGAGAGCGGAACUCUUGGUGGAGCGGUGAAAUGCGUAGAUAUCAAGAGGAACACCGGUGGCGAAGGCGGCUCUCUGGUCCAAUCCUGACGCUGAGGUGCGAAAGCUAGGGGAGCAAACGGG